AGUCACUGACAUUAGAUACCCGCGUAGUCCCAGCCGUAAACAAUGUGCGUUAGGUGUGUCGGUAACCACGCGUUACUGAUGCGCCGAAGAGAAAUCGUGAAACGCACCACCUGGGAAGUACGGUCGCAAGGCUGAAACUUAAAGGAAUUGGCGGGGGAGCACCACAACAGGUGGAGCCUGCGGUUUAAUUGGAUUCAACGCCGGACAUCUCACCGGAUAAGACAGCUGAAUGAUAGUCGGGAUGAAGACUCUACUUGACUAGCUG
rnacentral:rRNA from 1 species